GAUCAUGGCUCAGAUUGAACGCUGGCGGCAGGCCUAACACAUGCAAGUCGAACGGUAACAGGAAGCAGCUUGCUGCUUUGCUGACGAGUGGCGGACGGGUGAGUAAUGUCUGGGAAACUGCCUGAUGGAGGGGGAUAACUACUGGAAACGGUAGCUAAUACCGCAUAACGUCGCAAGACCAAAGAGGGGUCUCGGUCGCU
rnacentral:rRNA from 1 species